ACAUCAGGAAAAGUUGCCAGGCUCACAAACACACGAUGCGCUGCAACACGUUUCUUCGCGGUUCGAUGGACUCGUGCAACAUUCGCGUAUGCCCGUUUCGGUUUGGGACCAGGGUUCUACGAAUCAACAGUUUCUAGCAAGUCUACACCCGAACAUGCGACGUGAGACUACAUGAAACUUAAGCCGCCGGAAGGGUGUAUUCCGAAAUUACCGAAUUACCGAACUUGUUCUUUAACCUUCUUGUUUAAAACUAAACUUAAGAACAACCGGCAGUCGCAUGAGUGUACUUUGUACACACUUUGUAAGGGCACUGGUAUGAAACGCCAAAACAUGCGACUUCCGAAACGAUAAUCAGAAAUAAAAUCUUCUAAAUCA